rnacentral:lncRNA from 1 species
AAUCAAUAAAUUAAUAUGCUACCAACAGAAUUGAUGAACAUGGUUGCCUUAAAAGAAGAAGAAGAAGAAAUGAUGAACAUGGUGAUCCUCGGCCUGAUUCACUUUUCCCAUGAAAAGUAUAGAAGUCAGAGAGAACCUGUGAGUUGACAGAUCUUUGCUAAAGCUACUCCCUUUCCAUAUUUUUCAAGCAAUUCAGAUUCCAAGUGAAAUUGAUGAGAAGUUGAUGGACGAACCACCCCA